AUGGACGUUUCAGUGGAAAACCAAGAGUGGGAGAGAGUUACAGUAGAAAGAGGAGCUGUGAGAUGCCUGCACAAAGACAUCCAAAGAAGAAGUGAAAGGAGCAUAAGGAGACUCGCUAAUAUUAUUUUAACUUGCCAUAAUCUCGAAGCAGCUUUUAAAGGCUUUUUUUACGCACUUUCUGAAAAUAAAUGCUUGAAGUUAGACAUGCCCUGUUCCAAGAAAAAGCAAAUCUCAGCAGAUUAACAUUGUUAAAUAUGCGGUGUGUUAAACAUACAGUGCUUCAAAUUUUAUAGCUUAUACACUAUUGGUCUAUCGGGCCCUUCCAGGAAAGCACUUACGAGCAUGCCUAAUGUUAAGCACAUGAGCAGUGUUCUUAAAGUCAGCAGUGUUGUUCGUGUGGGUAAGUGCUUUGCUGGACCAGCGCCUAAAGUCCUGUUAGGUGCUGAGCAUCCUGAUCCAUAUCCAGCAAAGCACUUACGUCCAUGCUUAUCUUGAAGUGGAAGAGCCGGUCUAGCUAAUAUUUGUGCAUUAGUGUUUGCCAUAAAAACCUCUCUUGGCACAGUGACUCACAUGCUUAAAAUUAAGCACCUGCCUAAGUAUUUUGCAAGGUCAGACCAACAGCAUCCUUGAGCAAAUCUUAAAUAAUUACUUGAUUUUGUAUUAAUUUCCCUUUUUGUAGUCUUUGUUCUGUUUUUUAACAGAGCAUAUGAUUUUAUUGGCUAUAAUUUCAAGCUUUAGAAGCUAGGUAGCAAAAUGUUUCAUACAAUUUUCUCCUUUCUUUUUCAAACUCUAUCCAAAUACUUUUUUGGACUAAAAGUCCAUUUGUUCAGACUUAGAAUCAUCUAAAAUGAAAAAAAAAAAAAAAAGUUAACUUUUUCUUAGGAUAUAUCCUUUUUUUUUUUUUUGUAAGAACCAUUUCACCGAGUUUGAUUUGACUGGGUUUGACCAACCCUGACCUAUUAUCCAGAAGAUGUCACCUAGCUCUGGCUUGUGAGUGGUCUGACUCUUGAAGUAAAGUAAACUUCAAUAAAAAUGUCAAAGUUCACAUAAAACACGGAGGAAAUGGAUGCUAAUGAGAUUCUUAACUGGUCUGUCAGCUUCACAGACUGAUGUUUUUAACUUAAAUAACGGUUUAGCAAACUACCAAACUUUAGCAUGGAACUUUUUGUUACAGAAUUUUUAAAGUGGUAAUUCACAGGAUUUUGAACAUAAUAAAUGUGUACUUUUGUAAAUUUUAACUAUGAAGAUGAUUCACAGAUACCUCAAAUGGACAAAAUGUUCUGUAAAAUUUAAAUGAAGCAUUCCAGGUGAGAAAUUAAAAGAUGCUUUGCUUCCAUACAUUGUGCCUAACUUCAAGUCAAACAAGAACUUCCAGAAGUGUUUAUUAGGACAUUCCUGAAAAUGAAAUUCCAAGAGGAAGAGGCAAUGGCAUGUUCAACUUUCUUUUCAAUUUAAAUCAACUCUGUUUUGGAAUAUGAAAGAUCCAAACGGUUAACCAUUUAGAAAUCGUGUAUGAUAGGAGAUGGAAUCCAAAUACUUAUUUUAUAAAUUUGCACUGAAUUCUUUGCUUCCUUUUCACUUGUCUAGUUAAGCAAAGUGCACUGUGCCUUUUCAAGGAAAAAAUGUUUAUUUUAACAUAAUUUUCUAAGCAGUACUGCAAUAAUAUUAUAUGGGUUCAAGAUGAGAUUUCUAUUUUUCUAGCUUCUUAUAUUCAAAAAAUACUUGGUGUAUAAAUAAGAUUGUAUAUUUCAGUAAACAGUUGUUAAUUUUUUAUUUCAGAUUUUAUUUUUACUUCAUGUGCAAGAAAAAAAAUAAAUACCUUUGGAAUAAUUUGUUGAUCGUUUCUUCAUUAAUCUCAGAGAGAAAUACAAAGAGAAAUGCAGUGCCAUCAGACUACUAAUUCCACUAGCCUCUGCAAGCUAGUCAGUAAUUUUGAGUUGAAGGAAAAAAAUGACUCCUGAGAUAGACACAAAUUUAAAGGUUCAUUAAGAGAGAUUCAGUGAUGCUAAUUGUUGAGGAGCUCACUGUACAGGUGCUCUAGUGAAAACCCAUUGGUGUGUGCAUACAGUUGCUGGCCCACAUACUUUGGCCAUUUUGCUUUUAAUGACUGUGGUGUAAAGCCUCUGAGAUAAGGAGGGGAUAAGGAGAGAAGAGGUGAAGAGAAUGAUGUGAUAUUCAUGUCAUUUUUAACAUAUUUCACAUUCUGUGCCAUCACACACGUAGUACAUAGGUGUUCUGUCGCUGAUCUACACG
rnacentral:lncRNA from 1 species